GACGAACGCAGUCGGCGUGCUUAACACAUGCAAGUCGAGCGAUGAAGCACCUUCGGGUGUGAAUUAGCGGCGAACGGGUGAGGAACACGUGAGAAAUCUGCCUUCAACUCUGGGAUAACUCCGGGAAACCGGGGCUAAUACAGGAUAUGAAACCUGCGGGCAUCCGCGGGUUUGGAAAGUUUUUCUGUUGAAGAUGAUCUCGCGGCCUAUCAGCUUGUUGGUGAGGUAAUCGCUCACCAAUGCGACGACGGGUAGCCGGCCUGAGAGGGCGACCGGCCACACUGGGUCUGAGACACGGCCCCGACUCCUACGGGAGGCAGCAGUGGGGAAUAUUGGGCAAUGGAGGAAACUCUGACCCAGAGACCCCGCGUGCGGGAUGAAGGCCUUCGGGUUGUAAACCGCUUUCAGCAGGGAAGAAGCGAAAGUGACGGUACCUGCAGAAGAAGCACCGGCUAACUAUGUGCCAGCAGCCGCGGUAAUACAUAGGGUGCGAGCGUUGUCCGGAAUUAUUGGGCGUAAAGAGCUCGUAGGUGGUUCGUCACGUCGGAUGUGAAAUUCUGGGGCUUAACCCCAGACCUGCGUUCGAUACGGGCGAGCUUGAGUAUGGUAGGGGAGUCUGGAAUUCCUGGUGUAGCGGUGGAAUGCGCAGAUAUCAGGAGGAACACCAAUGGCGAAGGCAGGACU
rnacentral:rRNA from 1 species